AUUGAACGCUGGCGGCAGGCCUACACCUGCAAGUCGAGCGGAUGAAGGGAGCUUGCUCCUGGAUUCAGCGGCGGACGGGUGAGUAAUGCCUAGGAAUCUGCCUGGUAGUGGGGGAUAACGUCCGGAAACGGGCGCUAAUACCGCCUACGUCCUGAGGGAGAAAGUGGGGGAUCUUUGGACCUCACGCUAUCAGAUGAGCCUAGGUCGGAUUAGCUAGUUGGUGGGGUAAAGGCCUACCAAGGCGACGAUCCGUAACUGGUCUGAGAGGAUGAUCAGUCACACUGGAACUGAGACACGGUCCAGACUCCUACGGGAGGCAGCAGUGGGGAAUAUUGGACAAUGGGCGAAAGCCUGAUCCAGCCAUGCCGCGUGUGUGAAGAAGGUCUUCGGAUUGUAAAGCACUUUAAGUUGGGAGGAAGGGCAGUAAGUUAAUACCUUGCUGUUUUGACGUUACCAACAGAAUAAGCACCGGCUAACUUCGUG
rnacentral:rRNA from 1 species